rnacentral:rRNA from 1 species
GAACGCUUUUAGUUGCUAACGUCCAUACAUCCGGUUAUCGUACGUUCACCUAAGUUAAACAACGUCGGGCGCGGUUAGUACUUGGAUGGGUGACCGCCUGGGAAUACCGAGUGUUGCCUUCU